rnacentral:rRNA from 1 species
UACGUAGGUGGCAAGCGUUGUUCGGAAUUAUUGGGCGUAAAGGGCGCGUAGGCGGUUUGUUAAGUCGGCUGUGAAAGCCCGGGGCUCAACCCCGGAGGGUCAGCCGAUACUGGCAGACUAGAGUACGGAAGAGGUAGCUGGAAUUCCCGGUGUAGCGGUGAAAUGCGUAGAUAUCGUAAGGAAGACCAGUGGCGAAGGCGAAUCUCUGGACAGUUACUGACACUGAGGCACGAAGGCCAGGGGAGCAAACGGG